GAUUAAGUUAUUAAGGGCGCACGGUGGAUGCCUUGGCACUAGAAGCCGAUGAAGGACGUUACUAACGACGAUAUGCUUUGGGGAGCUGUAAGUAAGCUUUGAUCCAGAGAUUUCCGAAUGGGGAAACCCAGCAUGAGUUAUGUCAUGUUAUCGAUAUGUGAAUACAUAGCAUAUCAGAAGGCACACCCGGAGAACUGAAACAUCUUAGUACCCGGAGGAAGAGAAAGAAAAUUCGAUUCCCUUAGUAGCGGCGAGCGAAACGGGAAGAGCCCAAACCAACAAGCUUGCUUGUUGGGGUUGUAGGACACUCUGUACGGAGUUACAAAGGACGACAUUAGACGAAUCAUCUGGAAAGAUGAAUCAAAGAAGGUAAUAAUCCUGUAGU
rnacentral:rRNA from 1 species